rnacentral:rRNA from 1 species
GCUGGCGGCGUGCCUAACACAUGCAAGUCGUACGAGAAAUCCCGAGCUUGCUUGGGAGAGUAAAGUGGCGCACGGGUGAGUAACGCGUGGGUAACCCACCUUCGAAUCUGGGAUAACUCCGCGAAAGCGGAGCUAAUACCGGAUAAGACCACAGCCGUUUCGGCGGCAGAGGUAAAAGCUGACCUCUCCAUGGAAGUUAGCGCUCGAAGACGGGCCCGCGUCCUAUCAGCUAGUUGGUGGGGUAAAAGCCUACCAAGGCAGCGACGGGUAGCUGGUCUGAGAGGAUGAUCAGCCACACUGGAACUGGAACACGGUCCAGACUCCUACGGGAGGCAGCAGUGAGGAAUUUUGCGCAAUGUGGGAAACCCUGACGCAGCAACGCCGCGUGGGUGAAGAAGGCUUUCGGGUCGUAAAGCCCUGUCAGGUGGGAAGAAACUCUUCAGUACUAAUAAUGCUGAAGCCUGACGGUACCACCAGAG